rnacentral:rRNA from 1 species
GGCAAAAGAGAGCUUGAUUGCAAGACAUACAGGUCGAGCAAGGAUGAAAAUCGGACUUAGUGAUCCGGUGGUUCUGCGUGGAAGGGCCAUCGCUCAACGGAUAAAAGCUACCCUGGGGAUAACAGGCUUAUCUCCCCCAAGAGUCCACAUCGACGGGGAGGUUUGGCACCUCGAUGUCGGCUCAUCACAUCCUGGGGCUGUAGUAGGUCCCAAGGGUUGGGCUGUUCGCCCAUUAAAGUGGUACGCGAGCUGGGUUCAGAACGUCGGGAGACAGUUCGGUCCCUAUCCGUCGCAGGCGUAGGAAAUUUGAGAAGACCUGUCCUUAGUACGAGAGGACCGGGAUGGACGUACCUCUGGUGUACCAGUUGUCCUGCCAAGGGCAUGGCUGGGUAGC